ACCCCGAUCCCAAGCACCAAGGAGCCGACGAUUUGGAUCAAGUCCUACAUCCCAAGCACCAAGGUGCCUGGUUGAUUUGGAUCAUGAUCCCGAUCCGGAGCUCCAGGGCGCCGAGGAUUUCGAUCAAGAUCCCGAUCUGAAGCACCAAGGAGCCUAGGAUAUGGAUAAAGACCCCGAUCUGAAGCGACAAGGAGGAAAGGAUUUAGAUCAAGACUCUGAUCACAAGCACCAAGGCGCCGAGGAAUUGGAUCAAGAUCAAGUAGGCUAUGUUAUUUUAUGUUUCCCACACCGUUCAGGGCAUUUUGGUGGUUGUAUCGGCUUUUUGUUGCUUGCUUGGUGUUAGUGCCAAGGGAGUGGCUGGAAGCUAGGUCGUCCACUGGAAUGCUUGUUGUAAAGGUGUAUGAGUUGUGUUUGGCUUGUUACGGGUGUUUGUUGGCUGCUUGUGCAGGAACUUUCAUGCGUUCAAGCCUCUUCAGUUGUGCUACAAGGCCUUGUUUGUCUUGUGCUUACGGUGGGUUUCCUGUGUUGCAUACCUAAUCAAGGGCAUCGUAUGGCUCGAUCGAAGUACAUAUUCGUAAUGCGCUGCUUGCGGCGUUGAACGAACCUCGAAGCGGUCUCUGUGGCCCAUGUUGUCUUUGCUCACGCAUGGAUGGCAUGGCCCUUGGGGCGUCGCUUGGUCUCUUGGAUAUGGAACCUGAUGAUGUGGGCGGUAGGGUCUUUGAUGAUUCUACCUUUGC
rnacentral:misc_RNA from 1 species